AUGCCUUGUCCACACUGGCUGUGUGAGCUGGGAAGCCUGGGGAGCAGACGUUGCCAAAAAAUUUCUGCUUUUCUGUUUUGUUUCCAACCGGAACUUUUUAAGGUUGGCAGCAGUUCAGAACAAAGAGUUUCUCUGGUGACCCAGGGCCCUCGCAGAUCCGUGUCUGUUUUCCAGCUCCUUCCCAGAUGCAUUUGUGGUCAUUUAGCCAUAGCUUCUGUCCGCCCUGCCUGCCCCAGUCGGUCAUGCUGGUGCCCACCUGGCUUUCACAGAGGUCGCUGCGUCUGCUCUGAAGAGACUUCAAAUGCUCUAACUGAGGAGCUUCUAAAAUCGUGGCAUUUUAUGAAGCCAAGGGUUUCAGUUUGGCUUUGGGCACAUUUCUAUCAACUUACGUCCUGAGGCUCAGAAUGGCAGUGAACUACCAUGAGGACAAGGAGUAAAAGGAAUAUAGCCCUACUGCAUGUGCUAUGUGUUGUUGAUGCACCAAGGACUCUAAUACAUUGAAACUGCAAAAGAUGACUGAGUGUUGUUGGUGUGCAUCCCUUGAACUGGAGGCAACUUUUCCUCAAGGUUUCUCUGGAAACUUGAGAAUGAGUUUCCCAAACUAGCUGAUUGCUAAAAUAGGGACAACCAGAGGGAAAACUACGUUUUCUCUGUCUGUAAAAUAUGUGCUAGGGAUGAGCUCAGGAGUUAUAAACCGAUGGGCUUUACUUCAGUACUUGGAACACUGGCUGAAAUACAGCUAUAGAGUUAUAAUGAGCAUGAUAUUAUAAGGACAAAACAGCACUGCUCCCAAAAGGAAAAUUCUCUUUCCUCCAGAAUGUCAGCAAAAUAACAGAUAACCAAGAAGUGAUAGAUAUAAUUUAUUUUGGGUUUUAAAAAGCUCAAGAGGCUAUUAAGGAAGCUCAGAGUAAUCACAGGGUAGGACAUAAUGGACUUUCAUGGACUAAAAACUGAUUAAGAGAGGGAAACAAAGAAUGAAAUAAGUACAUUUAGCAAGUUAAAAAUUGGACUGAAAACUUAAUUCUAUUUCAAUAUCUAUUGGAUUUUAUUUAUGGCAUUGGAUGAUAAAUUGUCAUAAAUACACCCAGGAUUCCAAUAAAUGGUCAGCAAAAAGUCUUUUCUGUCA
rnacentral:lncRNA from 1 species